CAGUGCCGCGGUAAUACGAGGGGGGCAAGCGUUGUUCGGAAUUACUGGGCGUAAAGCGUGCGCAGGCGGUUCUAUAAGACAGAUGUGAAAUCCCCGGGCUCAACCUGGGAACUGCAUUUGUGGCUGUAGAGCUCGAGUACGGUAGAGGGGGAUGGAAUUCCGCGUGUAGCAGUGAAAUGCGUAGAUAUGCGGAGGAACACCGAUGGCGAAGGCAAUCCCCUGGACCUGCACCGACGCUCAUGCACGAAAGCGUGGGGAGCAAACAGGAUUAGAUACCCCCGUAGUCCCUGUCUCUUAUACA
rnacentral:rRNA from 1 species